AGUGAACGCUGGCGGUAGGCCUAACACGUGCAAGUCGAACGGCAGCACAGUAAGAGCUUGCUCUUACGGGUGGCGAGUGGCGGACGAGUGAGGAAUACAUCGGAAUCUACUUUUUCGUGGGGGAUAACGUAGGGAAACUUACGCUAAUACCGCAUACGACCUACGGGUGAAAGCAGGGGAUCUUCGGACCUUGCGCGAUUGAAUGAGCCGAUGUCGGAUUAGCUAGUUGGCGGGGUAAAGGCCCACCAAGGCGACGAUCCGUAGCUGGUCUGAGAGGAUGAUCAGCCACACUGGAACUGAGACACGGUCCAGACUCCUACGGGAGGCAGCAGUGGGGAAUAUUGGACAAUGGGCGCAAGCCUGAUCCAGCCAUACCGCGUGGGUGAAGAAGGCCUUCGGGUUGUAAAGCCCUUUUGUUGGGAAAGAAAAGCAGCAGGUUAAUACCCCGCUGUUCUGACGGUACCCAAAGAAUAAGCACCGGCUAACUUCGUG
rnacentral:rRNA from 1 species